rnacentral:rRNA from 1 species
GAUGAACGCUGGCGGCGUGCCUAAUACAUGCAAGUCGAGCGAACAGAUGAGGAGCUUGCUCCUCUGACGUUAGCGGCGGACGGGUGAGUAACACGUGGAUAACCUACCUAUAAGACUGGGAUAACUUCGGGAAACCGGAGCUAAUACCGGAUAAUAUAUUGAACCGCAUGGUUCAAUAGUGAAAGACGGUUUUGCUGUCACUUAUAGAUGGAUCCGCGCCGCAUUAGCUAGUUGGUAAGGUAACGGCUUACCAAGGCAACGAUGCGUAGCCGACCUGAGAGGGUGAUCGGCCACACUGGAACUGAGACACGGUCCAGACUCCUACGGGAGGCAGCAGUAGGGAAUCUUCGGCAAUGGGCGAAAGCCUGACGGAGCAAUGCCGCGUGAGUGAUGAAGGUCUUCGGAUCGUAAAACUCUGUUAUUGGGGAAGAACAAAUGUGUAAGUAACUAUGCACGUCUUGACGGUACCUAAUCAGAAAGCCACGGCUAACUACGUG